UACGUAGGGUGCAAGCGUUGUCCGGAAUUAUUGGGCGUAAGGAGCUCGUAGGCGGUCUGUCGCGUCGGCUGUGAAAACCCGGAGCUCAACUCCGGGCCUGCAGUCGAUACGGGCAAACUGGAGUGUUGCAGGGGAGACUGGAAUUCCUGGUGUAGCGGUGAAAUGCGCAGAUAUCAGGAGGAACACCGGUGGCGAAGGCGGGUCUCUGGGCAACAACUGACGCUGAGGAGCGAAAGCGUGGGGAGCGAACAGG
rnacentral:rRNA from 1 species